AACCUGCCCGGCUUCGCACGGGUGCUUAUCACAAUUUUCGUUGAGAUCUCAUUUUUUUUUUAAAUAAAAUAUAGCCUGUGUUACUCAGGAAUAAUGUAUCUUUCUAUACUGGUGAAAUAAUUUUCCAAAUCGAUUCAAUACUUUCAGAGAUAAGCCUCGAUAGCUCAACGGUUG